GUAUUUUCCCUUCCUUUAAAAUGGUAAAGGACUGUUAUUCACUUUGGUGAAGUGUUUCUGCAUAUUCACUGUAACUUCACAACAUUUUAAAAAUCGUAUUUCUGUGGGUCUCUGGCAUUAUUAUUGUAACUGCUCCAGAAUGUACCAGCCACCCAGUCCGGGAUACGCUCCGCCUCUCCGCGCCCACCCGCCCACUCCCAGGUCCGAGGCACGCGUGCCCCGGCCGCUCCCCCACGCUCGCCAACGUGCACGCCACAUCGCUCUAUCCCCAGAGCAAACCUCACCUGGAACUGCAUAGCAUCCUUUCAAAGGCAAGUUAUUCUGGCCACCUGCCUUUGGACCCACUCAGCUUUUCCACCAGCCACACAGAAUAAGUCUAAGAGUACAGGGCACAGUAGAAAUGGAGAUGACAUGUUCAUUCUAGCAGAUGCCUGUCUCCUUCAUGUCGUUGUGGAAAUGCAAACUUGCAACACAGGCCUUGCCCACAAGAGGUUUACAAUCAAGUUCGUUCAAAUGAAAUACCUCCAAAAUGCAAUAAAGCCUCAGCUGACAUUACAGUUGUUAGCCGAUGAAAGCUCCUGAAAGCGCGGACCUAAUGAACAGUAGUGCUUUAAUUUGCUCCAAUCGCCAUAGCAAGAACCACAGAUAGAGGGGCCUGAAUAACAGGUGAGUUUUACGCAUUCCAGAGACUGGAAACCUAAGGUUACGAUAUCAACAGGUUUGGUUUGUUUUGUUUCCUCCUGAGCCUUUCUCCUCAGCUUGCGGAUGGCCUCUUCUUGCUGUGUUCUCACCUGGCCUUUCUUCUGUGCUCGCACAACCCUUGGUGACUUCCUUCACGUACAAGGACCACAGUUUAUUAGACGAGGGCUUCACUGCUAUAACCUCAUUCAACGUGGACUGCCACUUUGAUUUGGACCCUAUCUCCAAAUACAGUCAUAUUCUAAGGUACUCCAGGUAAGAGUUUCCACAUAGGAAUUUGGCGAGAAACAGGAUUCAGUCUGUAACUGGUCAUUUCCAUUUAUUGGGAUCACUUUGGGAAAUGGUGAUCUACAUGUAUUUUCAGGAAGACUUAAUGAAAAGAAAUCUGUUUCUCCAUCAUUUUUAAAUUAAUAGAUAAUUGCUUAGGCUGGAUAUAUCCAUGUAAAAUCAGUGAAGGCACAAUUGAAUAAAUGAGCGAUCGACAUGAGACCA
rnacentral:lncRNA from 1 species